AGCGACGGUUGCAGAGAGAAUGAGUGACUGGCAACUCUGACUAACACAGCCGAGUCCCCAGCUAAAGUCUCUCUUCCUCUAACUUACAAAAUGUCUGCUUCUGUGCCAACCGCAUCACGACCAUCAUGUACAGACAAAUAAAUACAAACAGCGUUAUGUGCAAGAAUCAAUUACCAUGCCAUCUGCAUGGGUCUGGAGAUAGAACAAGGAACUGAGAACCUGGGUGCCAGUCUGUUUUUGGUUUCAUAUGACUUAUUUACAAAGAAAGCUAUCCUAGUUUGCAUUCCGUUACUGUGGUAAUCCCAUGACCAAAAACACCUGAGGAAGAAAAGAAUACAUCUGGCUUCCUGAGCAUAGUCCAUCGCGGAGGAAAUUCAGGGCAGGAGUUUAAGCAGGAACUUAGAGCAGAGACCAGGCAGGAACACCGCUUACUGGAUACUGAAUAAUUUGGACUCCGUAGAAAGUUUGCAACAACUACUUGGGCGACUGAAAAAUCAGAAAUAUUAAGAGAGAGAUCCAGAAACCAUUUGCCCUGGGAACUGUUACCAGGUGAACACGCUUAUAACUGGUGGUGAAGAAAUUUCACCAGAAACCAGCAGCUUCUCAGAAUGUCACAUGCCAACCCCAGCACUGCCAAUCGACUACAACUUGGUUUCAUUAUGAAGACCAGGCUGGCCUUGAACUCAGAAAUCCACUUGUGUCUGCCUCCUGAGUGCAAAGAUUAAAGGUGUGAGUCACCACUCC